ACAAUCAAAGCCUUCCAAAAUUUGAAUCGAAGAAAAGAAUAACAAAGCCAAAAUUAAUCCAUUGCUGAUUACAUAUACUCUCUUAGAACCUUAGGCAAAUAUUGUAUAUCCAAAACCUAAGUAACUAAUUACAGAGAGCUUGUUACAGAGACCUUAGGCAAAUAUUGUAUAUCCAAAGCCUAGGUAACUGAUUACAAAGAGCCUGUUACAGAGAGCAGCCUGUUACAGAGAGCAGCCUGUUCUCUGUGAUCUAGUUGGUAGUUUUCGAAACUCCUUUCAAUGAGUGAAAAGAGUGUUUGAAGUUGUGUGAAGUUCAGCCAAGAUGAUUUUUUACAACAGAUUUCUAACUUAUGUAAUUCAUAUACCACAUAUGCAGAAACAAACAUCCCACACCACCUACUCAAGGUAUUAUCCCCUUUUGUUUAAUUCUCCAAAUCACCAACAGAGAAUCCCAACACACACACACUUACUUGACGUUUCACUAUAUGUUUACAAGAUAUGUUAUAUGUGAACUGGAAUUACAGGGGAAGAAUAAAAGACUUUAUAUUGAGUAUUACAGUUGUAAAGUGAAUUUGCACAAGAAAACCCUAUGUUUAAAUGUCUGAACUGAAUUGAUGCUUGACACCCCUGUUUUGUGUGUGUGAGUCAAAGUUGGGAAAGGACAGCCUCGGUGGCUCGUCGUCGGCAACGGAGCGGCGGCGGUGAACCUGUCGUCGUCUCCGAUCUGCCAAAGAGGGGAAAAGAGAGGAGUAUUUCAGUUUUGAUUUGAAAAAAAAGAAGAAGAUGAGGAAAAGAAAAAAAAGGGGGAAAGAGAGGAGUUAGGGUUUACCGAUUUCAGGCGGGGCGGAGGCGGAGGUAGCUUCGGCUGUUCGUCGGAAAAGAAGGAGCAGGCGGCGGCGCGCCGCGGUGGGGCGUUUGCUGUCCUGUUUCCGGGGCGCGCGGCUUACGCUGUGUCCGUGCGUGUGUGUUUGAUUGUUGAGAGGGAAAUAGAGAGAUGUUGGGGGCCAGCUAGGGGAAGAAGAGAUGGGAGGUUGGGCUUCAGCGGAGGGAGGCAGGGCACGGCGGCGGUGCCGCUGCUGCCCGGCACGGCCGGAGAGAGAGAGAGGUGGNGCGGCGGCGGUGAACCUGUCGUCGUCUCCGAUCUGCCAAAGAGGGGAAAAGAGAGGAGUAUUUCAGUUUUUGAUUUGAAAAAAAAGAAGAAGAUGAGGAAAAGAAAAAAAAGGGGGAAAGAGAGGAGUUAGGGUUUACCGAUUUCAGGCGGGGCGGAGGCGGAGGUAGCUUCGGCUGUUCGUCGGAAAAGAAGGAGCAGGCGGCGGCGCGCCGCGGUGGGGCGUUGCUGUCCUGUUUCCGGUGGCGGCGCGGCUUACGCUGUGUCCGUGCGCAUGUGAGUGUGUGACAGAGGGAAUGAGAGAAGAGGAGGGAGAAGGAGACGACGGCCGUGUGGCCGGAGAGGAGGACCAGGCGGCGGCGCACUGCGGUGGUGGCGUCUGCUGUCCUGUUUCCGGCCGAGAGUGAGCGAGAGAGAUAGAGGCGAGAGGGUGAGAGAGAAAGAGGGGUCAGAGAGGAGAGAGCGAGUCGAGGGAGAGAGGGCCUAUGCCGGUUCCCAUCGGGCGGGGCCGCCUUUGAGCGGCGGCCGCAGAGAGCCGGUCAGAAAGAGAGAGGGAACAGUGUGUGUGGCUGACCUGAGAGUGUGUGAAUGAAGGUGUUUUAAUGUGUGUGCAACUUGGUUAAGUAUUAAGAUGGGCUUGGGAUGAGCUUGGGCUUUUAUUUAAUUGCUGGGCCUUUUUCUUUGUUUAUUAGACUCGGCCCUUUGACAAUAAAAUCUGAUGGGUUUUUAUAAAAUAAAAUCUUUGAGCUUAACUAUUUAAUUAAUUUGGGCUCAUAUCUAUUUAAAUUAUUUGGGCCCUUAUUUGUUUAAUUCAAUUGGGCUUGACUAAUUUAUUUAGUUGUGGGGCUUUUAA
rnacentral:lncRNA from 1 species